AUUGAACGCUGGCGGCAUGCCUUACACAUGCAAGUCGAACGGCAGCACGGGUGCUUGCACCUGGUGGCGAGUGGCGAACGGGUGAGUAAUACAUCGGAACGUACCUUAUCGUGGGGGAUAACCAACCGAAAGGUUGGCUAAUACCGCAUACGCCCUGAGGGGGAAAGCGGAGGACCGCAAGGCUUCGCGUUAAUGGAGCGGCCGAUAUCUGAUUAGCUAGUUGGUGGGGUAAAGGCCCACCAAGGCGACGAUCAGUAGCUGGUCUGAGAGGACGACCAGCCACACUGGAACUGAGACACGGUCCAGACUCCUACGGGAGGCAGCAGUGGGGAAUUUUGGACAAUGGGCGCAAGCCUGAUCCAGCCAUUCCGCGUGAGUGAAGAAGGCCUUCGGGUUGUAAAGCUCUUUCGCAAGGAAAGAAAACUUACCCGUUAAUACCGGGUGAGGCUGACGGUACCUUGAUAAGAAGCACCGGCUAACUACGUGCCAGCCGCCGCAGUAA
rnacentral:rRNA from 1 species